rnacentral:misc_RNA from 1 species
UUUUUUUUUUUUUUAAUUUUUCUCCUUUUCUGAUACUUUAUUUUCAAAAGAAACAACAAAUAAAUUCACAACAGAAACCUCAUCAACAUAAAGUUACUUAAUGAUAGGAAUCAAUAAAUGUGUUAAAAAGAAAAUAAAAAGAAAAGUGCCAUAGAAGGAUUUUAGAAGCUAAGAACGUAGAAAUAAUUCCAUGGCAAGUCUUCGUCCAAGCAAAAAUGAUUCUUUCUUGUUUGAAUAAAGUAUGCAGGCACAUAUAUGCCAUUUAAAUACAUUUUCAUUCUCAGAUAAGAAUAAAAGCAUCUAAAUCUCAUUGUUAUAAUUGUUUUUCUUUUUUUUUUUUUACUGUGUAUCAAGAUUCUGUUUAAGCUAAUAUUUGUCAAAAAGAAAGAUGAUAAACAAAUUUUGAUAGAACCAACUUCUGCAACAGCCAUUUGCUCAUUUUUAUGAUUCUCUAUUGUUGCAAUUCCCCUCCUAUACUUCUUAUGAUGAUAACCCGAGGGCAAGUUAGAUUAUUUUGUUCAAUAUGGGUGCUCUAAAAUUUUGUACCACAGCACAAGAAUUUGUGUAAUUUUCUCUUAUAUUCAACUACAAAUAGAAAAUUAUGAAAGUUUUGCAGAUUCAAAUAUUUUCAUAGUUUUACAUACUGAAAGAAGACUAAUAUUUUUCAAUAUAAUUUGAACACUAGAAAAUAUUUUCCAAUUGAUUUCUAGUAUUGCAAUAAAACAACAAAAGUCAUUUGCUCAUAAAAUGUUUUCCCUAGAAAAUAUUUAUCUGACAAGUUAUUUUUUGCAAAUUUCUCUCUAUUGCUUUCUAUAUAUAGUCCUUUGCUUGAUUCUACAUGGGAUAGUUCACAACUAAGAUAAUUCAAAGAAAAUAGGACUCCUUUAAGUCCACAAUACCAUGUUUCUAAUUUGCUAUGAAAUAUUUAUAGCUUCUAAGUAUCCUAAUCAAAUCAUUCUUUCAUCACAAUCACCAAGUGUUUCUGGGCUAAAAAAGCAACCUGAUGCUAUCAAAAACAAAUAUUGCUCUCAAUAA